AGUGAACGCUGGCGGUAGGCCUAACACAUGCAAGUCGAACGGCAGCACAGUAAGAGCUUGCUCUUACGGGUGGCGAGUGGCGGACGGGUGAGGAAUACAUCGGAAUCUACUUUUUCGUGGGGGAUAACGUAGGGAAACUUACGCUAAUACCGCAUACGACCUACGGGUGAAAGCAGGGGAUCUUCGGACCUUGCGCGAUUGAAUGAGCCGAUGUCGGAUUAGCUAGUUGGCGGGGUAAAGGCCCACCAAGGCGACGAUCCGUAGCUGGUCUGAGAGGAUGAUCAGCCACACUGGAACUGAGACACGGUCCAGACUCCUACGGGAGGCAGCAGUGGGGAAUAUUGGACAAUGGGCGCAAGCCUGAUCCAGCCAUACCGCGUGGGUGAAGAAGGCCUUCGGGUUGUAAAGCCCUUUUGUUGGGAAAGAAAAGCAGCAGGUUAAUACCCCGCUGUUCUGACGGUACCCAAAGAAUAAGCACCGGCUAACUUCGC
rnacentral:rRNA from 1 species